UACGUAGGGGGCGAGCGUUGUCCGGAAUCAUUGGGCGUAAAGCGCGUGUAGGCGGCCCGGUAAGUCCGCUGUGAAAGUCCAGGGCUCAACCCUGGGAUGCCGGUGGAUACUGUCGGGCUCGAGUCCGGAAGAGGCGAGUGGAAUUCCCGGUGUAGCGGUGAAAUGCGUAGAGAUCGGGAGGAACACCAGAGGCGAAGGCGGCGACCUGGACAGAUACUGACACUAAACUACGAAAGCGUGGGGAGCAAACAGG
rnacentral:rRNA from 1 species